UGAACGCUGGCGGCAGGCCUAACACAUGCAAGUCGACCGGUAACAGGAAACAGCUUGCUGUUUCGCUGACGAGUGGCGGACGGGUGAGUAAUGUCUGGGAAACUGCCUGAUGGAGGGGGAUAACUACUGGAAACGGUAGCUAAUACCGCAUAACGUCGCAAGACCAAAGAGGGGGACCUUCGGGCCUCUUGCCAUCGGAUGUGCCCAGAUGGGAUUAGCUAGUAGGUGGGGUAACGGCUCACCUAGGCGACGAUCCCUAGCUGGUCUGAGAGGAUGACCAGCCACACUGGAACUGAGACACGGUCCAGACUCCUACGGGAGGCAGCAGUGGGGAAUAUUGCACAAUGGGCGCAAGCCUGAUGCAGCCAUGCCGCGUGUAUGAAGAAGGCCUUCGGGUUGUAAAGUACUUUCAGCGGGGAUGAAGGGAGUAAAGUUAAUACCUUUGCCCAUUGACGUUACCCGCAGAAGAAGCACCGGCUAACUCCGUG
rnacentral:rRNA from 1 species